AGAGCUCGUAGGCGGUUUGUCGCGUCUGCUGUGAAAUCCCGAGGCUCAACCUCGGGUCUGCAGUGGGUACGGGCAGACUAGAGUGCGGUAGGGGAGAUUGGAAUUCCUGGUGUAGCGGUGGAAUGCGCAGAUAUCAGGAGGAACACCGAUGGCGAAGGCAGAUCUCUGGGCCGUAACUGACGCUGAGGAGCGAAAGGGUGGGGAGCAAACAGGCUUAGAUACCCUGGUAGUCCACCCCGUAAACGUUGGGAACUAGUUGUGGGGACCAUUCCACGGUUUCCGUGACGCAGCUAACGCAUUAAGUUCCCCGCCUGGGGAGUACGGCCGCAAGGCUAAAACUCAAAGGAAUUGACGGGGACCCGCACAAGCGGCGGAGCAUGCGGAUUAAUUCGAUGCAACGCGAAGAACCUUACCAAGGCUUGACAUAUACGAGAACGGGCCAGAAAUGGUCAACUCUUUGGACACUCGUAAACAGGUGGUGCAUGGUUGUCGUCAGCUCGUGUCGUGAGAUGUUGGGUUAAGUCCCGCAACGAGCGCAACCCUCGUUCUAUGUUGCCAGCACGUAAUGGUGGGAACUCAUGGGAUACUGCCGGGGUCAACUCGGAGGAAGGUGGGGAUGACGUCAAAUCAUCAUGCCCCUUAUGUCUUGGGCUUCACGCAUGCUACAAUGGCCGGUACAAAGGGCUGCAAUACCGUGAGGUGGAGCGAAUCCCAAAAAGCCGGUCCCAGUUCGGAUUGAGGUCUGCAACUCGACCUCAUGAAGUCGGAGUCGCUAGUAAUCGCAGAUCAGCAACGCUGCGGUGAAUACGUUCCCGGGUCUUGUACACACCGCCCGUCAAGUCAUGAAAGUCGGUAACACCUGAAGCCGGUGGCCCAACCCUUGUGGAGGGAGCCGUCGAAGUGGGAUCGGUAAUUAGGACGAAGUCGUACAGGG
rnacentral:rRNA from 2 species